UACGGAGGGUGCGAGCGUUAAUUGGAAUAACUGGGCGUAAAGGGCACGCAGGCGGGCUUUUAAGUGAGAUGUGAAAUCCCCGGGCUUAACCUGGGAAUAGCAUUUCAGACUGGGAGUCUAGAGUACUUUAGGGAGGGGUAGAAUUCCACGUGUGGCGGUGAAAUGCGUAGAGAUGUGGAGGAAUACCGAAGGCGAAGGCAGCCCCUUGGGAAGAUACUGACGCUCAUGUGCGAAAGCGUGGGGAGCAAACAUG
rnacentral:rRNA from 1 species